AGUGAACGCUGGCGGUAGGCCUAACACAUGCAAGUCGAACGGCAGCACAGUAAGAGCUUGCUCUUACGGGUGGCGAGUGGCGGACGGGUGAGGAAUACAUCGGAAUCUACUUUUUCGUGGGGGAUAACGUAGGGAAACUUACGCUAAUACCGCAUACGACCUACGGGUGAAAGCAGGGGAUCUUCGGGCCUUGCGCGAUUGAAUGAGCCGAUGUCGGAUUAGCUAGUUGGCGGGGUAAAGGCCCACCAAGGCGACGAUCCGUAGCUGGUCUGAGAGGAUGAUCAGCCACACUGGAACUGAGACACGGUCCAGACUCCUACGGGAGGCAGCAGUGGGGAAUAUUGGACAAUGGGCGCAAGCCUGAUCCAGCCAUACCGCGUGGGUGAAGAAGGCCUUCGGGUUGUAAAGCCCUUUUGUUGGGAAAGAAAAGCAGCAGGUUAAUACCCCGCGGUUCUGACGGUACCCAAAGAAUAAGCACCGGCUAACUUCGUG
rnacentral:rRNA from 1 species